GAGAAACUGAAGCUUUGGGAUGGAAUAAAAGGGCAGGAGCAUGUAAACCCCACACCUGACCUGAUCACCACAGCAAUUCAUCUCAGCACCAGACCACAGCACUGAAAACCUGUGCUUUCCUACUGAGGAUGCAAACUUAUACCCACUGUG
rnacentral:lncRNA from 12 species